rnacentral:rRNA from 1 species
UACGUAGGGGGCAAGCGUUGUCCGGAAUCAUUGGGCGUAAAGCGCGUGUAGGCGGUUCGGUAAGUCUGUUGUGAAAGCCCCGGGCUCAACCUGGGAAUGGCAAUGGAUACUGGCGAGCUAGAGUGUGUCAGAGGAUGGUGGAAUUCCCGGUGUAGCGGUGAAAUGCGUAGAGAUCGGGAGGAACAUCAGUGGCGAAGGCGGCCAUCUGGGACAACACUGACGCUGAGGCACGAAAGCGUGGGGAGCAAACAGG